ACAAUAUCUGCAGAAAGACACUUCCAGAUGCCAUUCAUGGUGCUGAUGACAGGGUAGCAAGAAAGUAGAGUCUACCCACAAGGAACUUGCGCUCCAGUGUGGAAAUAUGGAUUCGCCUCAGUGGAUGAGUGAACACAGUUCAGGUGAUCCUCUUACCCCAGCUUCUUUAGAUAAGGAUUAUCGGCAUGAAUCACCAUACCUGGUAGAGAUUGAGACUUUAAAUGAUUUCAAACUGAUUUGUCAGAAGACAGAUUGUGAAAUUCUGGCAGAAAAUUGGCUGCACAGCAAGCUGGUAGGCAGCAUUCUUUCAUGGUCUCUGCUUCAGAUCUUGCCUUUGGGUCCCUGCCUUGAUUUCCUGUGAUGAUGGACUUACAAAGCAUAAUGUGAAGUGCUGUCCCUACCCUGCCCUUCCUUAGAGUUGGCUGAUUGCUCUGGCCUAUGGUGGAACCAGGUUUACCAGGAAGACCAUGGCUGAGUGGACUCCCUUGUGCGCAGUGGGGGCCUGAGCUAUUGACUAGGUAAUAAGUACAAUGGACCCACCAAGCCAUAGCUGAAGCACUCAACUCCUGUGCUCAAAGGAGGCCUCCCAAAGCUCAGAGCGUGCUCCAGGCUUCCCUCAAGAGAAACCCAAGGAGAAAAGUUCACAGAACAUGGGAGAAGACCAUCAGAAGAAAGGAUUAGGAUGUCCCAGAGAGAGAACAUUUACACCAAGAAGAUCAGCUGAAAACAUGCUUCAGCAGAGGUGUACUGAAAAUUCUCAGAAUAAAAGAAAGAGACAGAAUCCAUU
rnacentral:lncRNA from 1 species